UGCAAGUCGAGCGAAGUUUUCAAAGUGGAUUUCUUCGGAAUGAAACUUUGAUUAUCUUAGCGGCGGACGGGUGAGUAACGCGUGAGAAACCUGCCUUUCACAAAGGGAUAGCCUCGGGAAACUGGGAUUAAUACCUUAUGACACUAAUUUUUCGCAUGGAAGAUUAGUUAAAGCGCAAAGCGGUGAAAGAUGGUCUCGCGUCCCAUUAGUUAGUUGGUGAGGUAAUGGCUCACCAAGACCGCGAUGGGUAGCCGGCCUGAGAGGGUGAACGGCCACACUGGAACUGAGACACGGUCCAGACUCCUACGGGAGGCAGCAGUGGGGAAUAUUGCACAAUGGAGGAAACUCUGAUGCAGCGACGCCGCGUGAACGAUGAAGGCCUUCGGGUCGUAAAGUUCUGUCCUAGGGGACGAUAAUGACGGUACCCUAGGAGGAAGCCCCGGCUAACUACGUGCCAGCAGCCGCGGUAAUACGUAGGGGGCAAGCGUUGUCCGGAUUUAUUGGGCGUAAAGGGUGCGUAGGCGGCCUUUUAAGUCAGAUGUGAAAGGUCACGGCUCAACCGUGGUAAGCAUUUGAAACUGGAAGGCUUGAGUUAAGGAGAGGAAAGUGGAAUUCCUAGUGUAGCGGUGAAAUGCGUAGAUAUUAGGAGGAAUACCAGUGGCGAAGGCGACUUUCUGGACUUAUACUGACGCUGAGGCACGAAAGCGUGGGGAGCGAACAGGAUUAGAUACCCUGGUAGUCCACGCCGUAAACGAUGAGUGCUAGGUGUUGGGGGUCAAACCUCGGUGCCGCAGCUAACGCAUUAAGCACUCCGCCUGG
rnacentral:rRNA from 1 species